rnacentral:rRNA from 1 species
UACGUAGGGUGCGAGCGUUGUCCGGAAUUAUUGGGCGUAAAGGGCGCGUAGGCGGCCAGCACAAGUCAGUUGUGAAAUCUCCGAGCUUAACUCGGAAAGGUCAACUGAUACUGUGCGGCUAGAGUGCGGAAGGGGCAACUGGAAUUCUUGGUGUAGCGGUGAAAUGCGUAGAUAUCAAGAGGAACACCUGCGGCGAAGGCGGGUUGCUGGGCCGACACUGACGCUGAGGCGCGAAAGCCAGGGGAGCGAACGGG